UACGUAGGGGGCAAGCGUUGUCCGGAUUUAUUGGGCGUAAAGAGCUCGUAGGCGGUUUGGUAAGUCAGGUGUGAAAUCUCCACGCUCAACGUGGAGGGGCCACCUGAUACUGCCAUGACUGGAGUCCGGUAGAGGAGUGUGGAAUUCCCGGUGUAGCGGUGAAAUGCGCAGAUAUCGGGAGGAACACCGGUGGCGAAGGCGGGUCUCUGGGCAAUAACUGACGCUGAGGAGCGAAAGCGUGGGGAGCGAACAGG
rnacentral:rRNA from 1 species